AUUGAACGCUGGCGGCAUGCCUUACACAUGCAAGUCGAACGGCAGCACGGGUGCUUGCACCUGGUGGCGAGUGGCGAACGGGUGAGUAAUACAUCGGAACAGGUCCUGUAGUGGGGGAUAGCCCGGCGAAAGCCGGAUUAAUACCGCAUACGAUCUACUGAUGAAAGCGGGGGACCUUCGGGCCUCGCGCUAUAGGGUUGGCCGAUGGCUGAUUAGCUAGUUGGUGGGGUAAAGGCCUACCAAGGCGACGAUCAGUAGCUGGUCUGAGAGGAAGACCCGCCACACUGGGACUGAGACACGGCCCAGACUCCUACGGGAGGCAGCAGUGGGGAAUUUUGGACAAUGGGCGAAAGCCUGAUACAGCAAUGCCGCGUGUGUGAAGAAGGCCUUCGGGUUGUAAAGCACUUUUGUCCGGAAAGAAAUACUUGGCUCUAAUACAGUAGGGGGAUGACGGUACCGGAAGAAUAAGCACCGGCUAACUACGUG
rnacentral:rRNA from 1 species